AUGGAGGAAAGCCGCCGCGCGGGAGAUGAUCAGUACACCGAGGGAGCCGGAGACAGUGUUCCUCCGCCGGGCGGCCCGUACUACCUCACCGACCCGUCACAGCUCUGUGUGCCUGAGCUGGCUGAAGAGGGCGCUAGCGGCGUCCGCGGCCCUGUGCUGUUCCACCCCCCGCCCAACUGCAGGAUUAGAGAGGUGCAUUGUGGGAGUCAGGUCCGGCUCGUCGUCAUAGCCAUUCGAGACAUUGCCAAAGGCGAGGAGAUCACCGUGGACUACAGCCUGAGCGACUGGGGAGAGAAUGCCAUGGGCUUUCAUACUUCGGUGUCCCCACGUGGGUUUGAAUGUGGAUUCAACCCAGAGAGCACCAUCAAGAAGGUGACACACACACACACACACACACACACACAGACUGUCUUUACUUGCACAACCUGAGUAAAUAUGAUAUAUGUGUCCCUGCAGCACAGAAGCAGUCAUCAGUAGCACAGCUAUAUUUGUAGCAAUAGACAACAAUACAUUGUAUGGGUCACAAUUAUACAUUUCUCUUUUAUGACAAAAAUCAUUAGGAUAUUAAGUAAAGAUCAUGUUCCAUGAAGAUAUUUAGUAAAUUUCCUACUGUAAAUAUAUCAAAACUUAAUGUUUGAUUAGUAAUAUGCAUUGCUAAGAACUUCAUUUGAACAACUUUAAAGAUGAUUUUCUCAAUAUUUAGAUUUUUUUGCUCCCUCAGAUUCCAGAUUUUCAAAUAGUUGUAUCUCAGACAAAUAUUGUCCUCCUAACAAACCAUACAUCAAUGGAGAGUAGUGGAGUCUAACCACGAGAGCACCACUCAAAAGGUAGACACACACACACACACACACACACACACAGACUGUCUUUACUUGCACAACCUGAGUAAAUAUGAUAUAUGUGUCCCUGCAGCACAGAAGCAGUCAUCAGUAGCACAGCUAUAUUUGUAGCAAUAGACAACAAUACAUUGUAUGGGUCACAAUUAUACAUUUCUCUUUUAUGACAAAAAUCAUUAGGAUAUUAAGUAAAGAUCAUGUUCCAUGAAGAUAUUUAGUAAAUUUCCUACUGUAAAUAUAUCAAAACUUAAUGUUUGAUUAGUAAUAUGCAUUGCUAAGAACUUCAUUUGAACAACUUUAAAGAUGAUUUUCCUACUGUAAAUAUAUCAAAACUUAAUGUUUGAUUAGUAAUAUGCAUUGCUAAGAACUUCAUUUGAACAACUUUAAAGAUGAUUUUCUCAAUAUUUAGAUUUUUUUGCUCCCUCAGAUUCCAGAUUUUCAAAUAGUUGUAUCUCAGACAAAUAUUGUCCUCCUAACAAACCAUACAUCAAUGGAGAGAUUAUUUAUUCAGCUUUCAGAUGAUGCAUACGUCUUAAAAAAAAAAAAAGACUCUUAUGAUUGGUUUUGUAGUCCAGGGUCAUGGUUUGAUUUACUUUAAAGGUGGCAUGAACACUGCAAUCUGAUGUGCAUCACAUGCAUUUGAACAAAAUUGCAGUACAUGUGAAAAAUAGCAAGGAAAGUGACCAAAAGGAGUUACUGACUUCUGGGUAUUUGGUCUGUGUGAUUAUCUGAAAAUAGAAAAAGAAAUGGUAAGAUAUGUUACUGUAAAUCAAACAGGAAAAAUUCCAAAAAUAUCGCAAAUUAAAUUCUACAGUAUGUCAACAUAUUUCUCCAGCCAUCAACCAUCUUCUCAAACUUGUAAUAAGAAAUGCUGUUGUCAACAAAACUAAAAAUAAAUUAUAUUUUUUCUUAAAUACCAAAACACAGUGAAAUAUUAAGUGUAGUAAUAUUUUUGCGUUAUAUUUUUAUUUAGUAAUAUUCAUUAACAUAAAAGCAGGGUUAGUAUAGUUAACUAAAACUAAAACAAACAUUGUAGUUCAAACUAAAAUAUCGUGGUCAAUAUUGGAGACGCUUUGUCUUCGCCUCCCAAAUCGGCAGGAGUCUCUUUCUCGCUCUCGCUGUCUCCUCCCCCCGCCUCCAGCU
rnacentral:lncRNA from 1 species